UAUAAACUUUUGAACAGACGUUUGAAUAAAUUUGUAAAUUUUAAAUUGUUGUUAAAUAAUAACAAAGCCUGCGUAUUUUGGAAGUCUUUAAAUAUGAUAAAAAAAUCUAUGGAGCGGACAGCAUUCCUAAAUGUUGAUAAAAACUAGUCAAGCUUAAUUAGAAACUAUUGUAAAAGGGCAAUUUGUUUACUAUGCGAGACUGCUCAAACUGCUGAGCAAACAAUUUAUUGAAUUUAUUGAAGUACUUGAAAAAUCAUACUGAAAACUAUUUGCGUAAAAGCUCAAAUAUAUUUUCAAGACGCAAAGGAGAGAAAACGUGAUAAGUAUCAACUCAUAAAAUUAGCAAAUAAAGCUCGUUAAGAGCUUCAAUUUGUUUUUCAAGGGUGAAAUAGUUAGUAAAGAAAUAUAUAAAUAAUCGGUCAAGUAAGUAAAAUAUGUGCAUAUAUGUAUAUCUGGUUAGAUAAAUACUCUAACGGACCGUAUAAAUAUAUUUAUGCUGUUAACGAUUCAGUUAGAGGAAUAGAAAACUGUAUUACACUAACAAACCGCAAUAUGCAGCUGCUUAUAUAACACGUAUUUAUGUAGAUAGAUGUGUUGGGUCUGAUAUGAUAAUCCAGCACACACAGAUAGUAAUUUCACACACACACACAGAUAUAGGUAUAUGGCCCUUAUCUAUGUAUCUAUUUGCAUUGCGAACUGCAUGAGCUAGUUUUAGCCUUGACAAUGAUCUAUAUGACAGCAUUCAAUAUGUUAUAUAACAUAUAUAUGCGCAUAUAUAUGUAUACUUACAUAACACCAGGCGAACACAGCUGAGCACUUCUGGUACGUUUAAAAAUAAAAAUCAGCAUAGACAAGCGACAACAACGAAAGCAAAUAAAGCCGUGACCAUUUCGUGUCGAUAACAGCGAAGCAAAUGGAGAAAUGGACAAAUGGACAAAGGGAUGAAUGAAUGGUUGGAAUGGUUGAAGGCAGCGGCAAAUCUGUCGUCUUGUGCUGUGUCUCCGGCGUCGUACAUUAAAUUGCCAUUAAGUUUAUUAAUUGUCGCCGAAGGAGGCAGCAUAAGCGCAUCAGGCGGCACAAGCAGCGCAGCAACUGGCGGCCACUUUGGCAAUUGUUGCAUGCAACUGGCAAAGUGGCAAAUGCAUUAAGCCGACGUCUGCGUACGCGGACGCCACAUAAAUUAACGCGCCGGCAAUUAGCAAGUGUAUGCAAAAUACCACAGAGCAGCGCCCAGCGACGUGCAGUGCCAGGCCAUGCCAUGCCAUGCCACGCCCUCUGCCGAGCCACCUCUAUCGAGCCCCAACAGACCUGUGGACUGCUGCGCAGCGACCUCAAAAGCUGCAGUUGCAAGCGCUGGCGCUGCAGCAAUUGUUGUUGCGUUUUCUCUACAUAAAUUAAUAACAGAUAUCAACGUCGAGCAACAACAACAUAGCCCAGUUAUAAGCAGUCAAAUAGCGCUCAGGGACACAUUUGUUUUAUGCAAAAAGCAAAAGCGACCAGAAUAAAAAAAAAAAAAAAAAAAAACAAACAAAAAAAAAAAAAACAAAAACAGAAACUGAAAACAUAUCAACAUGCAUGCAUAUUUGCAUUUUAUAGUACCAUGCGCCUGUCCGGCACAGGGUAUUUCAGGCCACUAAAAAAAUAUUACGGAAAAUGUUGACUGGCUGAGUGACAGUCGGGGCAUUAGCACUGAGCACUGAGAGAACUGAAAAUUAUAAAUUGAUAUACCACGAAAGAACUUGGGUAGAUAUAAAUAUAUUUAUAUCCACAUUAAAGGUACGAGAUUCGUGCAGUCAAUGAGAGCGCACUGGAAAUAUGAGUACUAUUUGGAUGAAAUUUAAUUGAAAAAUGAAACAUGAGCUGCACCAAUGCCAGAGGGGAGAUAUUCAAAAAUAUGAUUGACAGUUGUAUUUAAAAUCCGUGAAGAGAAAAUGCUAAGAGCUCAUGUAAUUUAAAGAAUGUUUAUAGCUCCGGGGAGACGAAAAGAUGGAGAUUUAUAUUGUGAAAGAAAAUAUAUUCGCUUAAGCGUCUCUUACGGAAUAAUUAAAUUUUGCUUGCUUAUUUGUGGUAAGACAAUGUUGAUUAAUGAGCAAUUAUUUCUAUCGACAAAUGGUCCUAAAUAAAUUAUUCCCAUUAUUCAAAACAUUUUAAAAUUAUUGUUAACAAUACAUGUGGAAUCGAAAUUCUAUUCUAGUUUCAAAUAAGAUUUUGUAUAAUAUAUUAGAUUUUAAAGAACAUUUUAAGGGAAACUGGAGAACGUUGUUAGAAAAUUUCCAUUCUGUUAAAGAGCUCUCUGCUGUAACAAGUUAUCUGUAAGUCCGAUAGCUGUAAUUUAUGUUGAGCUUUGACAUACUUUAUUCGCUCAUUUCUGCAUGUUAAUUCAUUAGUUUUAAUUUAAUUAUGGUGGAGCAACUAAAGCUACACCGAAGUAAUGCAAACAAAGUAACCCUUUCACUAAAAAUCAAUGAAAGUGUAAUAAAAGCUGUCGAGAGGCUUUGCCGGACUAGGAACUAGUCAGCUGGGCUUAAUUAAGAGAUUCGUUGUGACAUUUUAAUUGAUGAGUUGGGUCACCCUAAUGCUAGCAUAAGUUGUACAUGGGGCUUCUACACAUACAUACACACUUAUUGGGAGAGGCGCAUAUCUGCAAAGCACACUGGAAUAGCAAAAACAAUGCUUAAUGCAAAACUGGGGCUGGCACUGGGGCUGGGGCCAAAGCAAUGUGGAGUGAGGCCCAGAGCAAGCCGAUUCUCGCCAUUUAAUUACACAGCAGAGCGACAGGCAUAGUUACAGAGGAAAGAGAUGGGAGAUGAGAGGGAGCUGGCAUUAGAAUGGUAACCAACGACCUGGCUGUCUGUCAGUCAGCCUAGCAGCCAACCAAGCAGUCUCCCACCUACACGUUUUCAGCAAUCGACACGAAAACAGUUUUGCAUACAACUUUGGCCGUAACCUCUCACAACCCUGGUGAACUCAGACCCCAAUUUGUGCUCGAAAGCCCUUUCACACCUCUAGAAAAAACCAAGUCGAGGUAAAUUCAAAAAAGGUGAGCCUAAUUUAUAGCUGCCAAAAUCUUCAAAGACAACCAAAACGAAAAAAAAAACAAGAAUGAAAAAUAAUGAAUCAAACAACUCGUGCUGAAUUCUAAUUGUGGCCCUCAAAACCUGCAAGGCUUUUUCUUGGCGAAUUUGUGAAUGCUCCAAAAGAUUUAAUGAACCUAAAUGCCAGAUGCUAUAUGUUAGAUGUUUAAUUAUAACACAGCGCUCCAAGGGAAAGAAAAAGUUGAGCACACACAGAACCACAACUUGAAAACUGAAAAACAACUUGCGAUUAUUGUAAUUAUUUUUAAAAAUAUGCUGAAAAAUGUCUAGCAAUUAGAAAAGACUUAAACUUUUUUUUUUUUAAUUCUAUUUGUAUUUAUUUCUGUUUUUUGUUUCAAGUCUCAGUCGUAUCUCUAUGGGUCGCCGUAAUCAGUUAAAUCUAAGCAAGAGAUGCCCACAUCUUGCCAAGAUAUUAAGCUCAUUAAAAACUCUGCUAGUGUGCGUGAGUGUGUCGUGUGUAGCAGCUCGGACCUGGUCAUAAUGCUACACUGAGACUAAACUGAAGAUGUUUCUCAAGGUGCAAAAUUAGGUGACUUUAUAAGUAGCACAACUAUUCUAGUUGUUAUGCCUGAAACAAUAUGAAUGAUGUACCAAUCGAUAAAGGUACAGAAGGAAAGAGAGAGAUAACACUCUUUGUGAAGCUUAAUUUUCAUUAAUAUAUGAUCGAUAAAUAUCGAUCGAUUCAUAGGAGUUAUUGUUAUCGAUAAUAUAUCAAUUGAAAAGUAAUGGAAGGUCUUUUCGGAACAUCAACUUUAAUUUGUUCUCAAUUUAGAGCUUGUAGUUUUGUAAAGCGACCUCUGCCCUAUGCGUUUCUCUCAGUGUACGCGCUCAUCGGCCA